AGAGUUUGAUCCUGGCUGAGAUUGAACGCUGGCGGCAUGCUUUACACAUGCAAGUCGAACGGUAACAGGCCGCAAGGUGCUGACGAGUGGCGAACGGGUGAGUAAUGCAUCGGAACGUGCCCAGUCGUGGGGGAUAACGCAGCGAAAGCUGCGCUAAUACCGCAUACGAUCUAUGGAUGAAAGCGGGGGACCGUAAGGCCUCGCGCGAUUGGAGCGGCCGAUGUCAGAUUAGGUAGUUGGUGGGGUAAAGGCUCACCAAGCCGACGAUCUGUAGCUGGUCUGAGAGGACGACCAGCCACACUGGGACUGAGACACGGCCCAGACUCCUACGGGAGGCAGCAGUGGGGAAUUUUGGACAAUGGGCGCAAGCCUGAUCCAGCAAUGCCGCGUGCAGGAAGAAGGCCUUCGGGUUGUAAACUGCUUUUGUACGGAACGAAAAGGCUCUGGUUAAUACCUGGGGCACAUGACGGUACCGUAAGAAUAAGCACCGGCUAACUACGUGCCAGCAGCCGCGGUAAUACGUAGGGUGCAAGCGUUAAUCGGAAUUACUGGGCGUAAAGCGUGCGCAGGCGGUUUUGUAAGACAGGCGU
rnacentral:rRNA from 1 species